GAUGAACGCUAGCUACAGGCUUAACACAUGCAAGUCGAGGGGUAACGAGAGGAAAGCUUGCUUUCCUUGUCGACGACCGGCGCACGGGUGAGUAACGCGUAUCCAACCUGCCCCCAACUAAGGAAUAACCUUGCGAAAGUAAGACUAAUACCUUAUAAUUUCCUCAGAUGUCAUCUGACGAGGAAUAAAGAUUUAUCGGUUGUGGAUGGGGAUGCGUCUGAUUAGCUUGUUGGCGGGGUAACGGCCCACCAAGGCAACGAUCAGUAGGGGUUCUGAGAGGAAGGUCCCCCACAUUGGAACUGAGACACGGUCCAAACUCCUACGGGAGGCAGCAGUGAGGAAUAUUGGUCAAUGGGCGAAAGCCUGAACCAGCCAAGUAGCGUGCAGGAUGACGGCCCUAUGGGUUGUAAACUGCUUUUAUACAGGAAUAAAGUUAGCCACGUGUGGUUAUUUGUAGGUACUGUAUGAAUAAGGACCGGCUAAUUCCGUGCCAGCAGCCGCCGUAAUAC
rnacentral:rRNA from 1 species